UCUUUGGUAGUAUAGUGGUCAGUAUUUUCGCCUGUCAGGAAUGUUCACACUUCCAGCGCGCGAGAGACCGGGGUUCAAUUCCCCGCCAAAGAG